UUCGCCCUUAGAGUUUGAUUACGGCACAAGACGAACGCUGGCGGCGCGCCUAACACAUGCAAGUCGAACGGGACUAUGCGAGAUGAAGUUUUCGGAUGGAAUUUUGUAUAGUUUAGUGGCGGACGGGUGAGUAACACGUGAGCAACCUGCCUUCGAGAGGGGAAUAACGGCUGGAAACGGUCGCUAAUACCGCAUAACAUACAGGAGGGACAUCCCUUUUGUAUCAAAGAUUUAUCGCUCGAAGAUGGGCUCGCGUCCGAUUAGGUAGUUGGUGAGGUAACGGCCCACCAAGCCGACGAUCGGUAGCCGGACUGAGAGGUUGAACGGCCACAUUGGGACUGAGACACGGCCCAGACUCCUACGGGAGGCAGCAGUGGGGGAUAUUGCACAAUGGGGGAAACCCUGAUGCAGCGACGCCGCGUGUAGGAAGACGGUCCUCUGGAUUGUAAACUACUGUCCCCAGGGACGAAGAUGACGGUACCUGGGGAGGAAGCUCCGGCUAACUACGUGCCAGCAGCCGCGGUAAUACGUAGGGAGCGAGCGUUGUCCGGAAUUACUGGGUGUAAAGGGAGCGUANGCGGGGAUGCAAGUUGGGUGUUAAAUCUACCGGCUCAACUGGUAGUCGCACUCCAAACUGCAGCUCUUGAGUGAAGUAGAGGCAGGCGGAAUUCCUAGUGUAGCGGUGAAAU
rnacentral:rRNA from 1 species